AUUUUGUAUAAGCAUAAGACCAAAGCCACUUUUUCUUGUGUCUCCAUGCUUUGUAUUUGAGUUACUCUUGUUUUGAGAGAGAGAGAGAAAACAUGGUUGCUUGUUUCUGUCUACUGUACAUGUUCUUCAAUGAAGUAAGAACUUUUGCAGACCACAUAAUCUCAAGUCUAGUUUCAAGAAUGAGACUCAAAACAUUUAUAAUAGUGUUUUGUGCGUUGGUUGAUUAUCAUUGCAGCGCCGGUUCUUUGGAGAAUCAACACCAUUUGGUAAGAAGUCGCAUAAGACGGCUGAGAUAUUGGGUUACCUGAACUCUCAGCAGGCGUUAGCUGAUUAUGCAAUCCUGAUUAGAAGCUUGAAGCAGAAUCUAUCAUCCGAGGCAUCACCUGUGGUUGUAUUUGGUGGCUCGUAUGGUGGAAGUAGGCUCACACCCACCUCUCUCAAUGGAAUAACAAAUCAUUACUCAUAAACUAUGUUCUGUUGUAUGUUAUGUCUUAAGACAGUUCUCGGUCCUUGCAGCGUGGUAUAGGCUCAAGUAUCCCCACAUAGCAAUCGGAGCAUUAGCAUCCUCUGCUCCAAUUCUUCAAUUCGAUAACAUUGUGCCAUUAACAAGCUUCUAUGAUGCAAUAUCUCAGGAUUUUAAGGUGUUGUAUGAUCUGUUUGCGGGAAAUAUCAUACAAAAGUGAUGUUACAAUGAACUUAUUGUGAAUUAAUUACAAGCAGGAUGCGAGUGUUAACUGUUUCAAAGUCAUAAAGAGAAGCUGGGAAGAGCUAGAUGCAGUUUCCAACAUGAAGCAUGGCUUGCCAGAACUCAGUAAAAAGUUGAAGACUUUCUUUUAGAUAGCAGAACACAAGAUGAAUAUGUUAUGAAACUAUAAAUAACAUAAUGUUAUGUCACUGAGUGGAAACAGGCGUGUACAGAGAUGGUGAUGACAAUGAGCUGCUCAAACGAGAGCAUGUUCCCACCGUACGAAAAGUGACUUUGAGAAAAUUGAAGAACAGUUCAUGAGUAGAUGCGGAGUCAAGCCUCGACCACAUUGGAUCACCACAGAGUUUGGCGGGAAGGGUUAGUUUUGUAUUGUGUCUUCUCUCAUUUCCUUCCCAUCUAUCGGAUCAGAUUUAACAAAAUGAGAUUCGUGGUAUUGUUUUUGUCAUAUAUUUUCACGGUUCUGGAGAACAUCUCGAGCAGUAUUUUCGCGCUUGUGACCAAGAAAACUAACAUUCUUCUGUCAAAAUGGUGGUGUUGAGAAAAAAAUUGAAACUCAACAUUGUUUUGCAUGAAACAGGUGCGCACCAUGCGGAUGGAUCUCAGGGCAGCUACGAAAGGCGACCCGGAGUGGCUGAAAGAGCAGAGGAAGCAAGAGGUGGCCAUUAUAGAAAAGUGGAUCAGUGAGUAUUACAUAUAUUUGAAAGAAGAAGACUAGGUUUAAGAAGACCAAUAGAAAGCCAAAAGGUCAUUUUGCACAAGAUUAGCAAACAAAGACUUUUUGUGUGUGUGUUUGUCAUGUAGUUUGAGAUUCAUCAGUUUCAGAGUAAAAAAUCAAAACUUGAUGUCUAUGAAACUAAACAAUUGUGAAGUUUUGAGUGAAAGAUAUGGAAACUAAAAGAAUCGCAAGAAAAUUUCAUUACUUGAACGACAAAGAAAUACAAGACCGGUUUGGUUUAAGAGACCCACAAACGACACUGUAUAAAGCAGAGACAUCAUCGUUAAAUAUUCAAGGCCGGUUUGGUUUAAGUGGAAAAAUAUAACCGUUAGAAAAUGCAGGAUGACCGGUUCAAAUUCGAAAUAAUCGAACCAAGUUUUUAAAAUAUAACCGUUAGAAAACGUGUCUUCAGUAAACGCCUCCGUUAAUCAAAUAUAGACGCGUUAAGAAUAAUCGUGUGCGUUGUCAAUUUAUUUCCACAUUGUUCACAGUUCCUCUUUCUGGGAAGGAUUCUCUCAGAUCGAUUCUUCCAAAAUUUGCAAAACUGGAACAGAAUCCGAUUGCCAUCUUAGAUUAGUUGAUUCCGCCUAAAACCCGAUGUGAUUGUUUGGGCUCCUCUCACUCGUCAUCGUUGAGAUGAUAUAUUAUCGCUUGGAGGAGGAAACCCACCGGCCUUUUAGUUGCUGCUUUACAUACCUGGAAGCUUACUCCGCCUGAAACCAUCGUCACCAAGGUAUCUGCUUCAGAAGGUGUUCAAAACCAAAUUGUUCAAGAUUUUGAGGAGAUUUCAAGUGUAGCGGACUUUUGUGGCAGGUAUGUCAUAUGUGCUUUUCAAACUUGCUUGUAAUUAGUUUCUGAAAUUCAAACAGAUGUGAAAUCAAGAUUAAUUUCAUUUCCACUAGACACGUGCUUGAAUAAGCAUCCAAAAUCUUAACAUAUUUAUGUGUUAGCCUUUAUACUUAUGUGAGAGCUUGAAGUAUAUAUGCCAAUAUUGAUUUUCUCAGGUAUGUGCUUCUCUUAUGGAUGCCCAAAAGAGAUUUUUCUAAUGUUUACAAUUAUUUGGUGAAGUAUGGAUUUAUCACUCUCUUUAUAUUGUAUAACUUUGGAUUUGAAUCAACGUUUCAGAGUAACCACAUCUCUGUUUCAUGAAGAAAACACUGGUCACUUGAAAUUCUGCAGGUCUAUUUUCUUCUGCAUCAACCGAUUUCAAAUCCUAAUGUGGUGUAUCUCAAACCUCCAUACAUGGGUUCUGCACAAUCACUUAAAAGUACAAAACAUACAUACAUAGGUACAAACAUGCAUUCAUAUAUACGUACUUUCAUACUGUAUACAUGCAUAAUUGCUUACAUACAUCAUUGUUUAUUUGCUUUCUUGAUUUUUUGUUUGAUUCUUUUGGUAACUUACUUGCUUCUUUAUGUACCCUUUCAUUCAUACUUCUUCCCUUGCUUGCUUUCUUGAUGUUCUGCUUCUUUAUUGACUUCCCUGAUUCAUUGUUUCACUUCUUUACUUGCUUUAUUGAUUUGUUGUUUUUUUGUUCCUUGUGUGUUUUAUCUUCCUUGCUUCCUUAUGUUUUUUUUUGUUCCUAUUUGGAUGUGUUUUUGCGUACCUGGUUGUUUAUAUAUAUUAUUUUGCGAUUCCUUACACACUUCUUCUUUUUUUCAUCUUUGAUCUCGUGUCUGUCGUUCUGUGGAAACUUAUUGCUGAUAUCCAUUGAUAAACAGUUGAUUUAAUUUUUUAUACUGGUACAUUUAUAUUUUGUGCUUAUGUUGACAGCAAUAAAUAUUGUUUGGAAAGUAGUUAUUAUCUGUAUUCUAUGUUUGUACAUCAUAACAUCUCUCAUUUUAUAAAUAGAUAUAUCUUGGAGUUUAUAUAAAUAUUUAUCUCGUUUGACUAACAAUACCUAUUAUCUAUGUUUUGGUGCUUGUGUUCAUUUAUGAAAUGGAUGUAUCUUGGAGUCUCUUAUAGAUAUCUACUUUGGGUGCAAGUAUGACUCAUGUAUAUUUUGGUAGAAUUUUCCUUGAGUCUGGUAUGUACUUGUUUUGCGUCAUGCUCGAAAUCCUUGGUGAUUAUUCCAAAAUAUUACAAUGACAUGAUCCUCACAAUCUAAUUGGUUGUUAUUUGAGUAAUGUUAGAAUUAUGCAUAUGAUUCUUACAUUUAUGAUUAUUGUGUAAUUUUUUCUCUUUAAAAUGUGUAUCAGUUGACUUGACUUUUAUAAUAUAAUGCUUGGAAAUAUUUUCAGUUAUGGUAUUAGACUAGUAUCUCUCACUUUGUCUUAACAUAUAUAGUUAAUUGGAACUUGGUUUCUUUGUCAAAACAGAGUUCAUUGUCUCUAUGUUUUUUUCUACUUGAAUCUUUUUUAAGUAAUGUUUACUGCUGUUUGUUGUUUGCCAAAAUGGACAAUUUUCAGCGUGAGUUUUGUUGAUAAACAAUGAUUUUUUUUUUUUUUUGGCUUUGUGUUAAGAUACAAGUUUUUUCAUGUAAACACAUUUGUUGCUUAUACGAUCAUCUUGGUCAUUCUCUGUUAAGAUUAUUUUUGAUCAUGAUAUCCUCAGUGUGGUAGGAUUGAUAACCAUUUUUCAUCUUAAACUCUUGGAAUAGUUGGUGUGGUAAAAAAAUAUAAAAAUUUAUUGAGAAUAUUAUUCACUAGCGCGGAUUUUUGAUCUAAAUUUUAAAUUUUUUUUUAAAAGAUACUGAAAAUAUAAAUAAUUGCAUUUUCCUCAAUUGAUUCCCGUGUGUGGGCUUGUGUCUCCCUCUUGUAGGAUUAGUCUCUCAUAUAACUUUCGAGCUUCUGUUCUGGCUUUGUAUUUCAUCUUGAUCAAUAUAAGUAUCCUUCAAUAAAAAAUAUAUAUGUAUAAGAUAGAUGUGUGAUGUCCCAUCAUGACUUGUUAUAACUGAAUAUAACUGAACAUUAUAUUGGCCACAUUAAGUGUAACAACACCAUCUCUAUCUGCUUAUCAAAGAGUAAGGGACACUUUGUUGGAUGUUCUGCUAUUUAAGCAGAUGCUUGUAAAAGGUUCUUUAAGCGCAAGAAUCUACAUGUCUUCCCUCAAAAAGACAAUAACAGUGGAGCAAGACACCUAAAGCAAUUGAAGAUGGUAAUCCCAUCGCUUCAUCAAAUAUGGAGACCAUUUCUUCAGUUGAUCCUAAUGUCAUUUUUGUUGCUGCUGGAGCUCCUCCUUCAUGUUCGGUCUGUAAUAUCUUUCAACUUUCGUGAUAACCAAGGUGAUCUCACACCGGCUCAAACACUUGACCUUCUCUAUUGUUUUUUAUUUUUUAUUUUUGUCAACCUUGACCUUCUCUGUUCAAAUUACUAUUUAAUUGUGUAUAUAAUAUCAGAGAAAGUAAAGGAAAAAGCUAAUAAAAUAUUAUAAUCUUAGGCAAAAUCUUAAUUGAUAAAUAUUUUAUGUA